UACAGAGGUCUCAAGCGUUGUUCGGAUUCAUUGGGCGUAAAGGGUGCGUAGGCGGCGCGGUAAGUCGGGUGUGAAAUCUCGGAGCUUAACUCCGAAACUGCAUUCGAUACUGCCGUGCUUGAGGACUGGAGAGGAGACUGGAAUUUACGGUGUAGCGGUGAAAUGCGUAGAUAUCGUAAGGAAGACCAGUGGCGAAGGAGGGUCUCUGGACAGUUCCUGACGCUGAGGCACGAAGGCCAGGGGAGCAAACGGG
rnacentral:rRNA from 1 species